AAUGGCGCCCUCGCGGCGCGCCACCCGAGCCAACCCCACGCCCCGCCGCGCUCCAUUUCCAGCUCCAUCUUCCCGGAGAGGUGCUCAGAGGGACGAUCGAGGUGCCGGCUGUGAAGAGCGGGAGCGUGGAGACUCGGAUCCCGAGCCACAAAAGAUUGCACCCAAACUAGUUUGAUGCUCUCCUGUCCAGUGUCCCUUCAUUGAUGCUUGGUCCUGAAGGCAUUGGAGGCCCAGCUCACCUUGGUGCUGUCUGCUGAAUUUGUGCAGAAUUUCCAACAUUGAAGAUUGGUUGUCCUGAGGGAAGCCAGUUGCCAUGUUGAGACGCUCUCAAGGCCAGGAAGUGAGGCGCCUGCCAAUAGCCAUGUGUUGUGUCAUCCUGGAAGCAGAUCCUUCAUCCCUGGCCAAGCCUUCAGGUGGCUGCAGCCUGGCUGAGAGCUGUGGUGCCACCUCAAGAGAAAGCCUGAGACAGAACCAUAUAGAUGAGCUACUCCUGACUCUCAGAAGUGGUGUGAGAUAAUAAACGUUUUUUAAUUUAAGCCACCAGAUUACGGGUUAUUUGUUAUGUAACAAAUAACUAAUAACAAAUAACUAGUAAAACAAAUAAUAAAC